CAGCCGCCGCAGUAAUACCGGCGGCCCGAGUGGCGGUCACUAUUAUUGGGCUUAAAGCGUCCGUAGCCGGGUUGGGAAGUCCUCCGGGAAAUCUGGCCGCUUAACGGUCAGAAUGCCGGAGGAUACUCCCAGCCUAGGGAGCGGGAGAGGCCGAGGGGAUUCCCGGGGUAGGGGGGGAAUCCUAUAAUCCCGGGAGGACCACCUGUGGCGAAGGCGCUCGGCUGGAACGCGUCCGACGGUGAGGGACGAAGGCCAGGGGAGCAAACCGGAUUAGAUACCCGGGUAGUCCUGGCUGUAAACGAUGCGGACUUUGUGUCGGACAAGCUAUGAGCUUGUCCGGUGCCGGAGGGAAACCGUUAAGUCCGCCGCCUGGGGAGUACGGCCGCAAGGCUGAAACUUAAAGGAAUUGGCGGG
rnacentral:rRNA from 1 species